rnacentral:rRNA from 1 species
UACGUAGGGUGCGAGCGUUGUCCGGAAUUAUUGGGCGUAAAGAGCUUGUAGGCGGUCUGUCGCGUCUGCUGUGAAAAUCCGGGGCUCAACCCCGGACUUGCAGUGGGUACGGGCAGACUAGAGUGUGGUAGGGGAGACUGGAAUUCCUGGUGUAGCGGUGGAAUGCGCAGAUAUCAGGAGGAACACCGAUGGCGAAGGCAGCUCGCUGGGACGGUACUGACGCUGAGGCGCGAAAGCGUGGGGAGCGAACAGG